ACUUGCUCGCAAUGUUCUGCUGAGAUUACCGGGGAUGAUGUGCUCAUUAGGAUGUGAAUAACAGCAGCGGGAACUGAAUGGCGAAUGCUCGACUGGGUUGCGUUUAGGUUGCGACUAGGUAUCGGAGGUAGAAGCUUCUCGACGAGAAUUAGACCAGCGAGGGUUAUUACGAAUCGAGACACCAAUGUGACAAGUGCUAACAAUUUCCAAAAAUAGAAAGAUCUAGAAGGAAGAUCUAAGGGGGAAGAUGGGCAUACAAACGGAAGUACGAAGCUGAGAAAUAUCCAAAAAUUUGAAAUUGACUUGUCGUUGAGAAUCGUCAAUGUUCUACGCUUCAUGGUCUUGAUGACUGUGUUAACGGUGUCUCACAAGAUCGCGCCGAUGGGAGAAACUAUUAAAAGUUUUCAUAAAACUAAAAUACGGAAUUAACACGAAAUAAAAAUGUCUGAAGAGCAUUGAAAGUAUCUUUCCUUGACUACCGUGAGCGUGCUUGAUUGAUCCACAUGGACGUAACGAGAUGACCGGAAUGCUCACAUUGUUUAAACACAUAUGUAAUAUAAACAAGAACGAGCAUGGAUUCCUAGCAAUGCCGUAAGUAAUUUUCAUUUCUUUCCUUUAACAAUAACGAGUAAUAAUAAUAGCGAUGAAAUUUAAAAUUCUGCUAUAAAUUUUUCAUCAUAUUAUAAUAUUACAAUAUUAUAAUUUCAUUGCUGUGGAAGCAAUGACUGUAAAUAUUGGUUUUCCGCAAAUCCAUCCCAUAUUCCCGUUAUAUCAUGUUGCACAAAAUCAGAAAACCGACUCCUUUUGCAAUUAAUCAGAAUAGUUACAAAAGUAAAUUUCAUUCGAUCAAUCGUGAUAUAAUAUUAUAUGCUAAAAUUUAUCUUGAAUACCAUUCUGCAAAAUUAUUAUUAAACGAUAACUUGCUUAAUUACAAUUAUCAAUAGAAAGAGAUAGAAUUAUGUUCGCUAUCCUGUCGUAAAAUCAUUACAUUUUAUUUUUGUUUAAUCAACCCAGAGAUAAAUUUAUAUAAUAUUUUCUCUUAUACGUACGUACAUCAAUUCAAUUUUCUUUAUUCUUUUCAGACGGGACCAGGAUUAAGCAAAAGUAAAUAUUCAAUUAUAUCUAAAAUUACGUCCAAAUCAUUA